UGGGGAAUAUUGCACAAUGGGCGGAAGCCUGAUGCAGCGACGCCGCGUGGGGGAUGAAGGCCUUCGGGUUGUAAACUCCUUUCGACAGGGACGAAGCUUUUGUGACGGUACCUGUAUAAGAAGCACCGGCUAACUACGUGCCAGCAGCCGCGGUAAUACGUAGGGUGCGAGCGUUGUCCGGAAUUACUGGGCGUAAAGAGCUCGUAGGUGGUUUGUCGCGUCGUCUGUGAAAUUCCGGGGCUUAACUCCGGGCGUGCAGGCGAUACGGGCUGACUGGAGUGCUGUAGGGGAGACUGGAAUUCCUGGUGUAGCGGUGAAAUGCGCAGAUAUCAGGAGGAACACCGAUGGCGAAGGCAGGUCUCUGGGCAGUAACUGACGCUGAGGAGCGAAAGCAUGGGUAGCGAACAGG
rnacentral:rRNA from 1 species